UCAAAGGGAUAGGCCCGCGGGGCUCCUGCGUGUCCUCGCUCACAUCCUCACGUCCCCAGCCCCUAUUCCUGCCCUUCCGUCACAGGGCCGGCACCUAGGCAGCUUCUUCUCUUUCACCCUGGGGCCCUGGCUGGGAAGAAAGAAACUAACAAGGCUCCUUUUGAGCCCUUCUGACCAAGGACAGAGCUAGAUUCACAGGGGAGACCAAACCACCAAGAAGCAGAGGCAGCUUUCUGUGUGAGCGAAUCAUGUCAGCCAAUCUAUAGAAAAACACUGGCGAUCUGCAACUGACCCAGUCAGCAACCAAAUGGCUGCACAGACAUGUGUCCCCAAAGAGCCAUUAUUAGGAAAACUAGAAAAGGAAGAGCCAUAGUCCAAAAUCUUACCCUUGGAAGGGACUGAUAAAAAACCUGGGAAUGCCUGGUCCUAGGGUGUCCCAUGUCCCCCUGGUACCAUCACACUGUCCCCAGCGAUCUGAGCACCCCGCCCCCUCCCCCACCCAUGGGGCCGUGGCUCACCCAUUCCUCCUCAUCCAAGCAGGACAACCAACUUGGAGCAGAGUCGAGGCGGUAGCUGGCGGGGGGCGGACCUGGUAGACAGAGCCACCGUCGAGUAACUAUGCAGUGAAAGGGGCUCACAGGACAAGCAUUAGGAGAAAGAAAAUAACUUCGUCAGAACAAUGGGAGGUGUCUCCCGCGUGUCAUUUCAUCUGAUCCCCGCAUUAUCACCAGGAAGUCUUAUCACUGAAAAAACUGAAGCUCAGAGAAGCUGGACGACUAGCCCUGCACCGCAGAACCAGUCACCAGCCGAGGCGAGGCCGGACCCAAGACGCCACUGUGCUCGCUUUCCACUACACUCUGUUAUCUCUGAGGACAAAGUGACAGAGCUGCAGAUAUGGGGCAAUGCCUGGGUGCCAUGGAAACCUUCCUCAACAAAAUCUCUCUCUGCUCCUGUUACUGAACAUGAAACUGGACCACUGCGUAGUCAUUCCUGGGGGUCUGAAGAAGGUUUUAGAGUUUUUACUUAGUCAACACAAAGCAAUUAGAUUUCUUCGACUUGACAAAAAAAAAAUUCUAAUUCUGUAGAGACCAAAAGUAGAUUAGUGGUUGCCUCAGGCUGGGGCUUGGGCAGAAUGAAAAGUGAGUGACAGGCUAAUGGGUCUGGGGUUUCUUUCUGGAGUGCUGAAACUAUUCUAAACUUAGAUAUGGUGACAGUUGUACAACUCUGCAAAUAUAUUAAAACUCAUUAAGUUAUAUGCUUCGAACGA